rnacentral:piRNA from 1 species
UGUGAUCUCGAAUUCCUAACC